rnacentral:rRNA from 1 species
UACGAAGGGGGCUAGCGUUGCUCGGAAUGACUGGGCGUAAAGGGCGCGUAGGCGGCCUGGACAGUCGGAUGUGAAAUUCCUGGGCUCAACCUGGGGUCUGCAUCCGAGACGUUUGGGCUGGAGUGAGGAAGAGGGUCGUGGAAUUCCCAGUGUAGAGGUGAAAUUCGUAGAUAUUGGGAAGAACACCGGUGGCGAAGGCGGCGACCUGGUCCUUUACUGACGCUGAGGCGCGAAAGCGUGGGGAGCAAACAGG